rnacentral:lncRNA from 1 species
UAUGAUUAACACAGCAUCCUUCCUAAUGAUUAUAUAUGCAUUUGCAUGUUUGUAUUUUUAUUUACACUCUUAAAUGGUUGUUUAAGUUUUUAAAGUUAGUGCGCUUGUAAAAUUCAGAACGAGUAGGGUGUUAAUUAUUUAUUUUGAUGAGAAGGCUCGUCAACGUUGCAGAUCGAGCUGUUUGGACAGAAGAUGCAACUUUGCAUAUGCUCACACAGCUGCAAAUGAAGGCAGCAUAUGCUAUAAGGUAUCUACACAUAAUGGAUUAAUGGCCUCCCGAUCUCCAAACUGUUACAACCUCAUUUGAUACCACCUCGCACUGAGCAACAGAUGAGGAAGAAGCAAAGAAGCUUCAAUUGGUGAUUUGUGAAUGAUGAACUGAGAUUUUAUCUGAGAUCAUCAUGAUCCAGCUAAAAAAGAUGAAGAUUUGCCCUGGCAAGGAAGAGAAGCAUCACAGGUGUUACUCCGCUAGUACAACAUAUGAUGCUCUAAAAAAAGUGUUAUCUUUUCUGUCCUGCAGGA